rnacentral:rRNA from 1 species
GCAUAUCAAUAAGCGGAGGAAAAGAAACUAACAAGGAUUCCCUUAGUAGCGGCGAGCGAAGCGGGAUGAGCUCAAAUUUGAAAUCUGGCGUCUUUCAGGCGUCCGAGUUGUAAUCUAUAGAAGCGUUUUCUGUGCUGGACCGUGUCCAAGUCCCUUGGAACAGGGUAUCAAAGAGGGUGACAAUCCCGUACUUGACACGACCACCAGUGCUCUGUGAUACGUUUUCGACGAGUCGAGUUGUUUGGGAAUGCAGCUCAAAAUGGGUGGUAAAUUCCAUCUAAAGCUAAAUAUUGGCGAGAGACCGAUAGCGAACAAGUACCGUGAGGGAAAGAUGAAAAGCACUUUGGAAAGAGAGUUAAACAGUACGUGAAAUUGUUGAAAGGGAAACGAUUGAAGUCAGUCGUGUCUAUUGGUUUCAGCCGGUCCUGCCGGUGUAUUACCUUUAGACGGGUCAACAUCAGUUUUGGACGGCAGAUAAGGGCAGUUUGAAGGUAGCACCUCCGGGUGUGUUAUAGCUUUCUGCCGCAUAUGCUGUCCGAGACUGAGGACUGCAGCUCGCCUUCACAGGCCGGGGUUCGCCCACGUUCGAGCUUAGGAUGUUGACAUAAUGGCUUUAAACGACCCGUCUG